rnacentral:lncRNA from 1 species
GAUCAGGAAGGUCCCGGCGGCUGAAGUCCUCGCUUCCCUGGCAGUGAUCAAGAAGGAGAAGGCUGAGCCGCCAUCGUUUCUUGAAACCCUCGGGAGGGACACAAGUCAGGAAAUUGUUUCACUCGGAGGACUGAUUUUAAGGAAACUAAGCCGGAUUCUUGUUGCGGUUUCCUAUAUACAUGUAUAUUAAUCGUGGUACUGAGUUGAUGUCUGAUCAGAAUGGAUGUUCAUGCUACUGCAGGAACUUCUAUCUGUGGGAGGGAAGUCGGUGGUUGAUGACAAAUCUGCAUUGGUUCGAAUCAUUGGAGGGUAAGGAAGUCUUCUUGUUCAUUGGCAAAAGCGUUGGUUCGUCUUUCUUUUUGUUUGAUAAGAUACAUACUGGUCUCCACUUCUUUCACUUUAAAGAAAAUAAUCCUCGCUCUUGUUUCAAUGGUUAUCGAUGGUUUAGUUUCAUGAUAUAGACG